GACAAUAAUCUCCCUUUGGUUCAAGGUGGCCAAAGGAAAUGAAUGCAAAAUGUGACUUAAGAGAUUGUGUUCCUCCUUGAAGGAUGUGGGGAGAGAGAGACUCCUAACUGACAUGCCAUAGCAUGCAGUGUAAGAGAUUGUCAAGCCACAUUCAAGAGGGCAAGAUCAAGCAAGCAAGAACCACGCAGAUUUCUGUUAUUUUUAAUGCAAGCCAGGGGAAAGGGUAACUACAAAAUCUUGGAAACUGCAAGAGGAAUUUCGAACCUUCAUUUAUCAUGGAUUUGUUAAGCCUACAAAAAAUUGAUUGUCCUUCAUAACAGCAAGACAAUAUAUCUAUUCUUGGUUUUAUGAUGGAAUCAACUGAAGGGAGAAGAGUGCUAAAUGCUCUAUUUACACAAAAAACGGAUCACAGCUUCUCCUAGAAAAUGUUUGUAAAAGAUGCCUGGAUCUUUGAUCUUUCCAUUGUUCCUUGUAUGGACUAAAACCACUAAACUUUCUUCCCUGGCACUUCCACACUUCAAGGGAACCGGUUCAGAUACUAUUAGAGUUGACCGGAUAAUGGUUUCUCCUGCUAAUCGCAACUAUUGUUCAAGGAACUGUCAACAUUUAUUGAAACGUUAGGUAACUUUGUGGUUCCUCAGUUCUAUUCAGGUGGUAUGAUUACAGUAAAUGGUAUUUUUUGUGUACUCAUGGAGUUGGCAUUAUUAAAUGCAGAACUUGCCUCCAACACCCUACUGGCUUAAGAGAGCCAGUGUGCUGUAGUGAUUGAAGGAUUAGUCUAGGAUGGGAGAGAGCCCAGGUUCAAGUCCAUCCUCAGACACUCGCUGGAUGACUUCUGGGCCAUUCUCUUUCAGCCCAACCCACCUCACAGAGUUAUUGUUCUGUAGAACGAUGGAAGGAGGAGUACUACCUCGAGUUUUUGGAGGAAAGGAAGAUAUAAAUCUAACAAGCCUGUGCUUUUAAUAUAACUCCAACUGUUUAUAUUGGGAAAUGCCUGAAUAUGGCUUUCAUCCCCUUUCUGGUCUAUUUUUGCCUAGUCCCCUAAAAUACAUACAUACAUACAUACAUACAUACAUACAUACAUACAUUCCUCCCUCCCUCCAUCAUAUGGCCAUCUAUCUCAUAUAAUGAUCCCAGGUGGUUCACAACAACCACUUCUUGACCUCUAGUACACUUAAGAGCAAGUUCUGCCUUUUCUUACUUCAGUUCCCAUCUCCUCUGACACACAAAAUACCUUAAACCUCAUUUUCUAUCUUUCAUUCAGAUUCAGUUUUUUCUCUUUCUAUUGCUUAACUGCAUCCUUCCUUUGGCCUCCUUCCUUCUGGGUUCGCUGUCCCUUAAUUUCCUGUCCUCCUGGGAACUAUUGCCAAUCAACUUCCCCAUGUGAUAUUUGAAUCACAACCAAACUAUCAUGUUUCCCUUUUCUCAAAGAUGUCCAAGGGUAAACUGCUUUGUUCUCUGAGCAAUUGGACAUUCCGGUUCAUCUCACAAAUUGCCCAGUUGGUAUUAGAGCCUAUGAACAAUGAUAAUGCAGAAUUAGGACUUUUAAAGAAAUUACAGACAUUAGCAAAAUCUUUCCAUAGAAAUCCAUAUGGAUUCUUCUGCAUCUUGAAUUGCAUUUUCUUCACUGAAGGUAACACCCAGGUCUGUCAGAGCUAACUAUAUCCCAGAACUCUGCAUUGGAGUAAUCCAAAUUCUGUGCCUAGAAAAGCCAUCCUCCAAGUAUGAACAUUGUACAAAUAAGUCCCACUUGAUUCCCAGGAAGUCUCAGGAAUUCUUCCUGAACAGUUUAUACCUGCUUCUGAUGGUUGUGGGAAGGGAACAAAUCUGUGCUUCAUGUUGUUGUCAGCUGAGAUUGGAAAAAAAAUCUGCUUCCCCUUUUUCACAAGACGCGGCCCAUGCACUCUUUUUGCUACCAAAAGUG